rnacentral:rRNA from 1 species
UACGUAGGGUGCAAGCGUUGUCCGGAAUUAUUGGGCGUAAAGAGCUCGUAGGUGGCCUGUCGCGUCGGCUGUGAAAAACUCGGGGGCUCAACUCCGAGCUUGCAGUCGAUACGGGCAGGCUAGAGUUCGGCAGGGGAGACUGGAAUUCCUGGUGUAGCGGUGAAAUGCGCAGAUAUCAGGAGGAACACCGGUGGCGAAGGCGGGUCUCUGGGCCGAUACUGACACUGAGGAGCGAAAGCGUGGGGAGCGAACAGG